rnacentral:lncRNA from 1 species
UCACUUCCAGGAACAGACCGUAAAAUCCACAGUAAGCUCAUAAAACCCCCUCCCAAAGAGUAGCCUGGGGAUAACCACAGAAGUAGGGAAAUGUCUUAUCUCAGGAUGGACCAUCUGCGCUGGGCAGCCCUAUCUCAUCCUAUGACUAAACAUUCAUGACAUAAGAAUGCAGACCGCUGGCCAGCUGUGACCCCCUAGCACCCAACAGUGCAAUUUUAGAUUACCCAAUCCUUCUAGAGGUUCCCCCAGUUCCCUUCUUAUAAGCCCUGCGUGCCUUUGUCUUGGGUCGCCAUUUUAAAGAAUGGUUAACCCCUGGUUGUUUCUGCAGAAAAAAUGUUGUUUGUCUUUGCAUACUAUCUGAGUCUGGGGUCUUCCUUCAGCAAUUUUGAGACUCUUACAGGGAUAUAAGCAAGGUAGCCUGAAAGUACAAAGGGACAACCAGGGCUAUACAGAGAAACCCUGUCUCAAAAAAAACAAAAACAAACAAACAAAAAGUACAAAGGGAUGACUGUCCACAAACAAAGCAGAAGGUGAAGUGGGCCUGGCAGGUAGGAGGAGGGUCUGUCAAGGUUUCCUUCGUAUCAGCCAGACAAAAAAGAGCCUCGUGCUUCUCUACAGAUUAAUAGCUCAAUGCACUGCAGGGUAUUUAUAAGAUUGGGAUAGUACACAGGAAUGAGGCAGGAAAACAAAACAAAACAAAACAAAAAAACAUUGCUACAAGUAACACAUUGGUUGCACAGAUAUUAAGUUGAGUAUAAGAAACAAAAAAAUUUUUUAAAAAUCUAUAUUUAUAUACCAUGUAAUUCCACUUUUACAAAUCCAGAAGUAGACAAAACUAAUCAGUGAAGGCCAGACAUGGUAGCACACACCUAUGACCCCAGCAUCUGUGAAGCAGAGGUCAUCUUCGGCUACAUAGCAAGUUUGAAUUGAAUGUGGGCUACGUAUUCUUUACAGUCCAGUGGAUGAUCUAUAUAGCCAUAUGUCCACUUUAACUGAGUUUGUCAAGAAUAUAGCAAGCUAAAGGGAAAGAAUACAUAGCAGGUAUGAGACAGCCAGAUGGACGGCAAGGAAUCUUCAAAUUGCGUACUCAAAGCAUGUAGCAGGGGCUAGAGAAGUGGCUCAGCGGUUAAGAGCACUGGCUGCUCUAUCAGAAGUCCCAGGGUUCGUAACCUAGCACCAGCAUGGUGGCUCACAACCAUCUGUAACUCCAGUCCCAAGAGAUCUGAGGCCCUCUUCUAGCCCCUAAGGGCACCACACGCAUGUGGCCCACACAUGCAGGCUGAACACACAUACACAAGCACACAUACACAUAAGAUAAAGCAAUUAGCAGACAUCACCUGAGAAGCCCCAUUGAGGCGGUCAGUUGGAGUUCCUAAUAUGGAGAAUCCCCAGGCAAAGCAGAGUGUCCAUUUGAGUAAAGUUUAUGAAUAAAAGAAGAGUAAUGAAUAGAAAUGACAUCAUCAAGUCAUGUGCUCACAGAGCCCUGCAGAGGUUAGGGCAGAUUCUGGUUGACAUUUGUCUCCACAGAUGGGCUUCUCAUGAGGGGCUGAACACCUGGAUUCUCUCAGCACAGGCACUUUUAUAUCACAGGAUAAACAAUAGUAAUUUCUGUUGGAAAUGGUCAAUGUUCUAGAUAUUUUCAAGGACAUAAUGUUAUUGGGGGGAUUGUUGAUUUGUUUGUUUUUGAGACAGGGUCUAGCUGUGUAGCCCUGGCUGGCCUGGAAUUCACUGGGUAGACCAGGCUGGCCUCGAACUUACAGGGAUCUGCCCACCUCUGCCUCCUGAGUUCUGAGGUGCUAGGUGGGUACCGCCAGGGCUGGCCAAACGUAGUUUUACUCUUAAACUGUUGCUUUCUCCCUGUCAGUGUUAAGGCAGCCACCCGUCCCCACACAGGGGCCCUUGGAGAAUACUUAGAGAUAGACAUGUUUGGUUCUGCAAUGGAGGAAGAAGAAGCCCCAAGUCCAGAACCAGAAUCUCAGCGAGCUCACACGGCACAUGUCAGUUUACCAACAUAAAGUAUACUCUCCCUGUCUCAACAAACAAACAAACAAACAAACAACAAAGUAGACCAGACUUGGUGGCAAACACUUCUAAUCCCCUAAGCAGUCAGUAGGCAGAGGCAGCUGUAGCUUUGUGAAUUCAAGGACAGCUGGGGUUCCAUGAUAUGACCCUGCUAAAACAAACCCAAGCAAGGAAACUAAAAUCCACUCUCCAAUUAAAAAAAAAGAGAGAGAGAGAAAAAGAGAAGAAAAGGGAAAAGAAGAGAAGGGAAAGAAGUCUAAAAUCCUAAUCAAUGGUGACUGCCACUAGACUGAUGGUUCACUCCCAGUGGGGGCGGGGUACAGACUGAGAAGACGCACAGUGAAUCUGUGUGCUGGUGGCACAAGUGUGUGAAGGCACAUGGAAUCAAACCAACCUACUCAGGACUGUGUUUUAUAAAAAAAGAAUGAAAGAACCAGGAUAUGUUUGGUAGAGGCACAGUAUAGCAUGGGGAAAGGAGGUGCCUCUGCAGGCCCAUGCCGAGACAUCCCUUCCCCCUGUGGGACCAGCCAUAUGACAGAUAUAGUAUGGAAUAGAGUUUAUUUAGUGCAUCGGGAAGGCAGUUGAAGAGAGAGAGAAAGGCAGAGAGAGGGAGAAGAAGAGGAAGAAGGAGAGAGAGAAGGGAAGGGAGAGGAAAGGCCGGCCAGGAAGGAGGGAGGGGAAUGGGGAGAGAAGGGACAGAGAGGGUAAGAGGAUAAGAGAGUGAGGAUGGGGCAAGCAGCCCAGUUCAUAGUGAGUCAGGCACAUCUGGCUGUUGCCAGGUAACUGUGGGGCAGAGCCUAGAAGAAAUGAACGCUAACACUCAGGAUUGUGGCUUUUGUGUUGGACCCCCCAUUUUGGCCCUGGUUUGGGCCUUGAGGACAAACCCAAUCCUGGCUUGAGUUUUGAGACCUGUCUCAGUCACUUCCGUAUCGGGGAGACUCAGCAAGACCUGUCUGGCCCUGCCUCUGCCCUGCCAUUGCUGAUGUAGAGCUUUGCCCUUGACCCUGUCAGUCACUCCAUACCCUCCGUCAACCUUCCCUGCCUCUUACAUCAUCUUACCCCACCAAAAAUCCCUCUCCCUAUGUUCCGAACUUAUAUAAGCAAGAGGCUGAUGCCAUAAAGUUUAUUUCCUGCUUCGACAAGACUCCUGGCUCAGUGUGUUUCCUUUGGGACAUCGACACUCGCCAUCCCUCUCAGCCCCAAAGAGACCCCAG